rnacentral:rRNA from 1 species
CAGCCGCCACGGUAAUACGUAGGUGGCAAGCGUUAUCCGGAAUUAUUGGGCGUAAAGCGCGCGUAGGCGGUUUUUUAAGUCUGAUGUGAAAGCCCACGGCUCAACCGUGGAGGGUCAUUGGAAACUGGAAAACUUGAGUGCAGAAGAGGAAAGUGGAAUUCCAUGUGUAGCGGUGAAAUGCGCAGAGAUAUGGAGGAACACCAGUGGCGAAGGCGGCUCACGGGCUCAUACUGGACGCUGAGGUGCGAAAGCGUGGGGAGCAAACAGGAUUAGAUACCCCAGUAGUCCCUGUCUCUUAUAC